GUUGGUGAACCAGCGGAGGGAUCAUUACAGAGCUUAACAACUCCCAAACCCCUGUGAACAUACCACCGUUGCUUCGGCGGGCACGCCCCGGGCGCGCGCAAGCGUGCCCCGGAACCAGGCGCCCGCCGGAGGACCCGAACUCUUGUUUUAGCAGUGGCAUCUUCUGAGUAAUUUUAUAAAUAAAUCAAAACUUUCAACAACGGAUCUCUUGGUUCUG
rnacentral:misc_RNA from 1 species